rnacentral:ncRNA from 1 species
UAACGAGGAAGGAUUUGACUGAUUGCAAACCUCGAAAAAAAAUUGCUAAAGCAGAUU